AUUGAACGCUGGCGGCAGGCUUAACACAUGCAAGUCGAACGGUAGCAGGAGUAUCCUUGCUUUCUUGCUUACGAGUGGCGUGCGUGAGAGUUAUGCUUGGUACUCUUGCUUAUGGAGUGGGUUAACUACGGUAAACUUUAUCUAAUACCGCGUAUUAUCUUCCGUUUAAAGAGUUGGACUUUUAGCCAUUCUCCAUAAGAUGUGCCCAAGGGUGAUUAGGUAGUUGGUGGGGUAACUGCCUACCAAGCCGACGAUCUCUCGCUGGUCUGAGAUGAUGAACAGGCACACUGGAACUGAGAGACGGUCCAGACUCCGACGGGAGGCAGAAGUGGGGAAUAUUGCGAAAAGUGGGGAACCCUGAAGAAGCCAUGCCGCGUGAAUGAAGAAGGGCUGCGGGUGGUAAAGUUCUUUCGGUGGUGAGGAAGGCUAAUAUGUAAAAAGAAGAUUAGAUUGACGUUAGCCACAGAAGAAGCACCGGCUAACUACGUG
rnacentral:rRNA from 1 species